rnacentral:rRNA from 1 species
GACGAACGCUGGCGGCGUGCUUAACACAUGCAAGUCGAACGGUAAGGCCCUUCGGGGUACACGAGUGGCGAACGGGUGAGUAACACGUGGGUGAUCUGCCCUGCACUUCGGGAUAAGCCUGGGAAACUGGGUCUAAUACCGGAUAGGACCCUGGGAUGCAUGUCCUGGGGUGGAAAGCUUUUGCGGUGUGGGAUGGGCCCGCGGCCUAUCAGCUUGUUGGUGGGGUGAUGGCCUACCAAGGCGACGACGGGUAGCCGGCCUGAGAGGGUGACCGGCCACACUGGGACUGAGAUACGGCCCAGACUCCUACGGGAGGCAGCAGUGGGGAAUAUUGCACAAUGGGCGCAAGCCUGAUGCAGCGACGCCGCGUGAGGGAUGACGGCCUUCGGGUUGUAGACCUCUUUCAGCACCGACGAAGCGCAAGUGACGGUAGGUGCAGAAGAAGGACCGGCCAACUACGUGCCAGCCGCCGCAGUAAGAC